rnacentral:rRNA from 1 species
UGGGGAAUAUUGGACAAUGGGCGCAAGCCUGAUCCAGCCAUGCCGCGUGUGUGAAGAAGGCCUUCGGGUUGUAAAGCACUUUUGUCCGGAAAGAAAAGCCUUGGGUUAAUACCCUGAGGUCAUGACGGUACCGGAAGAAUAAGCACCGGCUAACUUCGUGCCAGCAGCCGCGGUAAUACGAAGGGUGCAAGCGUUAAUCGGAAUUACUGGGCGUAAAGCGUGCGUAGGUGGUUUGUUAAGUCCGAUGUGAAAGCCCUGGGCUCAACCUGGGAAUGGCAUUGGAUACUGGCAGGCUAGAGUGCGGUAGAGGGGUGUGGAAUUCCCGGUGUAGCAGUGAAAUGCGUAGAUAUCGGGAGGAACAUCUGUGGCGAAGGCGACACCCUGGACCAGCACUGACACUGAGGCACGAAAGCGUGGGGAGCAAA